rnacentral:rRNA from 1 species
CCUACGGGAGGCAGCAGUGGGGAAUCUUGCGCAAUGGGCGAAAGCCUGACGCAGCAACGCCGCGUGCGGGAUGAAGGCCUUAGGGUUGUAAACCGCUUUCAGCAGGGAAGAAAAUGACUGUACCUGCAGAAGAAGGUGCGGCCAACUACGUGCCAGCAGCCGCGGUGACACGUAGGCACCAAGCGUUGUCCGGAUUUAUUGGGCGUAAAGAGCUCGUAGGCGGUUCAGUUAGUUGGGUGUGAAAACUCCGGGCUUAACCCGGAGCCGCCACCCAAUACUGCUGUGACUAGAGUUCGGUAGGGGAGCGGGGAAUUCCUAGUGUAGCGGUGAAAUGCGCAGAUAUUAGGAGGAACACCGGUGGCGAAGGCGCCGCUCUGGGCCGAAACUGACGCUGAGGAGCGAAAGCAUGGGUAGCAAACAGGAUUAGAUACCCUGGUAGUCCAUGCCGUAAACGUUGGGCACUAGGUGUGGGCUUCAUCCAACGAAGUCCGCGCCGUCGCUAACGCAUUAAGUGCCCCGCCUGGGGAGUACGGUCGCAAGCUAAAACUCAAAGGAAUUGACGG